UACGUAGGGUGCGAGCGUUGUCCGGAAUUAUUGGGCGUAAAGAGCUCGUAGGCGGUGUGUCACGUCGGCCGUGAAAACCUGCAGCUUAACUGUGGGCGUGCGGUCGAUACGGGCAUCACUGGAGUUCGGAAGGGGAGACUGGAAUUCCUGGUGUAGCGGUGAAAUGCGCAGAUAUCAGGAGGAACACCGGUGGCGAAGGCGGGUCUCUGGGCCGAUACUGACGCUGAGGAGCGAAAGCGUGGGGAGCAAACAGG
rnacentral:rRNA from 1 species